rnacentral:lncRNA from 1 species
GCAUCGAGAAGCGCCACCUAGCAUUUGCCCCCAAUGCCGCGACAAGCACCGAGGAUUUAAGAUUAUUCUAGCUAGGGGAGUUACCAUAUAUAUAUAAUCAAGCCCAUAUCUUCUUAGUGGAGAAUAAUUUGUUUACAAGUGUGUAAAAACUAAAAAGGCACUGCUUAACUCCACCACAAGAUAGAACAAAAAAUAAAAAAAAGGAAAAAACAUGUAUGUUGUGAUUAGAAUAUGUUAAAAAUGAGAUCCAUAUGCUCAUCUAUAGUAAACUCAACGGACACAAACUAGUCGCCCAUAUCUGAGAUAGCCAAUCAUUCCCUCCCAUAUGUAAGCAAGUGGAUUAUGGCAUCUUAGGGAAAGAGAUGAAGAAAAAGGGUGGCAAUUAGCGUUAUCUGGACAUGCCUCUUUAGAAUAAAGUAGACCAUAUAGAAAUAAAAAUAUGUAUUUUGUUUAAUAAUGAGAGACUAGCUGUUAAAGUGUUAAUUAAUAUAUAACUAAUGAUGAAAUGGCUUAGGCCAAUAAACUUUUAGUCACAAUAAAAUUUUGGUCAUGUAUAUAUAUACAAACUAUGUUUAACUUAGAUGCAUAUAUAUAUACAUCGUCAUCAUAUAUAUUUUCGCAGAUUAUGUAUAUGCAUUUCAUAGCACUACAUGCGAACUCACUAAUUAAGCGAAGAGAUAACUUUUUUAUUUUCAGGUGAGCGAAACUCCCCAACACUA